AGAGUUUGAUCCUGGCUCAGAUUGAACGCUGGCGGCAUGGCUAAAACAUGCAAGUUGAACGACCUCUUCGGAGGGAGUGGCGAAAGGGCGAGGAAUAUAAUCGAAUGUGUCCUAAGGUUGUGGAUAGCUUCUGGAAACGGAAGGUAAUACACAAUGUACUCUACGGAGAAAAGGUUUACCGCCUUUGGAGCAGCGAUUAUCCUAUCAGGUAGUUGGUGAGGUAAAGGCUCACCAAGCCGAAGACGGGUAGCGGGUGUGAGAGCAUGACCCGCCGCAUCGGGACUGAGACACUGCCCGGACUCCUACGGGAGGCUGCAGUAACGAAUCUUCCGCAAUGGGCGAAAGCCUGACGGAGCAAUGCCGCGUGUGGGAUUAAGCAUCUUCGAUGUGUAAACCACUGUCAGAAUCUAGAAAUACUGAUCAGAUUCAGAGGAAGGACCGGCUAAUUCAGUGCCAGCAGCCGCGGUAAUACUGAAGGUCCAAGCGUUAUUCGGAAUCACUGGGCUUAAAGCGUACGCAGGCGGAUUUGUAGGUAUCUUGUGAAAUCCCACGGCUCAACCGUGGAACUGCAGGGUAAACCACAAAUCUUGAGACAAGUAGGGGUUAGUGGAACGAUAUGUGGAGCGGUGAAAUGCGUAGAUAUAUAUCGGAACGCCAAUGGCGAAGGCAGCUAACUGGGCUUUGUCUGACGCUCAGGUACGAAAGCGUGGGUAGCGAACGGGAUUAGAUACCCCGGUAGUCCACGCCGUAAACGAUGCACACUAGGUCGCGGUACCUCUCAUGGUUUCGCGGCCGAAGGUAAACUGAUAAGUGUGCCGCCUGGGGAGUACGGUCGCAAGGCUAAAACUCAAAGGAAUUGACGGGGGCUCACACAAGCGGUGGAGCAUGUUGCUUAAUUCGAGGCAACGCGAAGAACCUUACCUAGGCUUGACAUGUAUGGAUUAGCAUUAUGAAAGUUUUGUAACGCCCUUGGGUGGAACAUACACAGGUGCUGCAUGGCUGUCGUCAGCUCGUGCUGUGAAGUGUCGGGUUAAGUCCCUUAACGAGCGCAACCCCUAUCGUUAGUUACUAACGCGUUAUGGCGAGGACUCUAGCGAGACUGCCGGUGUCAAACCGGAGGAAGGUGGGGAUGACGUCAAGUCAGCAUGGCCCUUAUGCCUAGGGAUGCAAACGUGCUACAAUGGCACGGACAAAGCGAUGCAAUACCGCGAGGUGGAGCAAAUCGCAAAAACCGUGCCCCAGUUCGGAUAGCAGGCUGAAAUUCGCCUGCUUGAAGCCGGAAUCGCUAGUAAUCGCGUAUCAGCUACGACGCGGUGAAUACGUUCCUGAGCCUUGUACACACCGCCCGUCAAGUCAUGGAAGCUGUUAGUGCCCGAAGUCACCUCGUUUCAGGGGUGCCUACGGCAAGAAUGGUGACUGGGAACUAAGUCGUAACAAGGUAGCCG
rnacentral:rRNA from 1 species